CUUGGUCAUUUAGAGGNAGUAAAAGUCGUAACAAGGUUUCCGUAGGUGAACCUGCGGAAGGAUCAUUACUGAGUUGUCAACACGAGUUGUUGCUGGUCCUCAAACAGGGGGCAUGUGCACGCUCUGUUCACACAUCCACUCACACCUGUGCACCCUCCGUAGUUCUGUGGUCUGGGGGACACACUGUCUUCCUCCUGUAGUUCUGCGUCUUUACACACACACCGUAGUGAAGUCUUAUGGAAUGUGCAUCGCGUUUAACGCAAUACAAUACAACUUUCAGCAACGGAUCUCUUGGCUCUCGCAUCGAUGAAGAACGCAGCGAAAUGCGAUAAGUAAUGUGAAUUGCAGAAUUCAGUGAAUCAUCGAAUCUUUGAACGCACCUUGCGCCCCUUGGCUAUUCCAAGGGGCAUGCCUGUUUGAGUAUCAUGAACACCUCAACUCUCAUGGUUUGCCAUGAUGAACUUGGACUCUGGGGGUUUUGCUGGCCUGCUGUCAGCUCCUCUGAAAUGAAUCAGCUUGCCAGUGUUUGGUGGCGUCAUGGGUGUGAUAACUAUCUACGCUUGUGGUCGUCUGCUGGGUAACCUUCAGUGAUGGGGGUUCGCUGGUGCUUAUAAAUGUCUCUCCUCAGUGAAGACAGCUCUUUGAACGUUCGAUCUCAAAUCAGGUAGGACUACCCGCUGAACUUAAGCAUAUCAAUAAGCGGANGA
rnacentral:rRNA from 1 species